AACGAACGCUGGCGGCAGGCUUAACACAUGCAAGUCGAACGCCCCGCAAGGGGAGUGGCAGACGGGUGAGUAACGCGUGGGAAUCUACCCAUCCCUACGGAACAACUCCGGGAAACUGGAGCUAAUACCGUAUACGCCCUUAGGGGGAAAGAUUUAUCGGGGAUGGAUGAGCCCGCGUUGGAUUAGCUAGUUGGUGGGGUAAAGGCCUACCAAGGCGACGAUCCAUAGCUGGUCUGAGAGGAUGAUCAGCCACAUUGGGACUGAGACACGGCCCAAACUCCUACGGGAGGCAGCAGUGGGGAAUAUUGGACAAUGGGCGCAAGCCUGAUCCAGCCAUGCCGCGUGAGUGAUGAAGGCCUUAGGGUUGUAAAGCUCUUUCACCGAUGAAGAUAAUGACGGUAGUCGGAGAAGAAGCCCCGGCUAACUUCGCGCCAGCCGCCGCUGUAAAAC
rnacentral:rRNA from 1 species